rnacentral:rRNA from 1 species
CCUACGGGAGGCAGCAGUGAGGCAUAUUGGUCAAUGGCCGCAGGGCUGAACCAGCCAAGUCGCGUGAGGGAUGACGGUCCUAUGGAUUGUAAACCUCUUUUGUCAGGGAGCAAAGGGCGCCACGUGUGGCGCUUUGCGAGUACCUGAAGAAAAAGCAUCGGCUAACUCCGUGCCAGCAGCCGCGGUAAUACGGAGGAUGCGAGCGUGAUCCGGAUUUAUUGGGUUUAAAGGGUGCGCAGGCGGAAGGUCAAGUUCGCGGUAAAAUUUCGGGGCUCAACCCCGUCGUGCCGUUGAAACUGGCGUUCUUGAGUGAGCGAGAAGUAUGCGGAAUGCGUGGUGUAGCGGUGAAAUGCAUAGAUAUCACGCAGAACUCCGAUUGCGAAGGCAGCAUACCGGCGCUCAACUGACGCUCAUGCACGAAAGCGUGGGUAUCGAACAGGAUUAGAUACCCUUGUAGUC